CAUACAUACAUAACAGUCUAUGUGCUCUUUGUGAGCUUUAGCAACUAUACCUGCCUAAUCUAAGUUUCCAGCACUUUCUCAAACAUGAAUGUCCUCCUGCUGCUUUUUGUUUAGUUCCUGCUCAAUCCUAAUUUCAAUCUGGCUGCUUUUCAAGAUUAUUGUCUCAUACAGCGUAUUUUAACUGUGAUAUGGAUUCUGUCCUAGAGUAGGAGGCACCCAUGGAUUUGUUCAAAAAACCUACAAAGGUUUUGCUGAACUUUGAGGCUGUGUUGAACUUUGUAGUGUACCCCUCAGGACAGCACACACUGAGGGUAACUCAACAGAUGCUACAACAAAAGACACGGGGAGGAUGCCGUAUAUACAGACACAGAAGGCUGAUUAGGGAUACAGCUGGAGGAAUAAGACACAGGUGCUCACAAUCGGAACCAUCAGGGGAAGACAGACAGGAAGCGAGACCCGAAGCAAGACCCAAGAGAAACCAUCUGUCAAAGUAAAACAGGAAACAAGCCUAAAGACAUAUAACUAAAAAAAGGAUAAAAAGAUUUCCACUAAUCAUGAACACAGAGACAAGAAAACACCAGAGGACAAAGGCAUAAACAUGCGACAGAGUAACGAACAAAGAGGGAUUAAACUUGGGGAAAAAACAUGGAGCUCAAAAUAGAAACUGAAGCUGAACACAGACCAAAGAUUCAAAACCAGAGAUGAGAACAGAGCAAAAAUUAGAGCUCUGCAGUAUCACCUGAAAUCAAACUUCGAACUCAAAACAGGUAUGAAGCACUUCAGACCUUCAAACUGUGCAAUAAUAAAACUCAAACAGAAACACAGACUCGUAUAAAAAUCCAAGAAGCUGUGAAGCAACAGUUCAUCCUCCAAGGUGAGACUUCUGAUGUGUCUUGAAGGCAUCUCUCUAAAAAAAACAAAAACAAAUCAAAAACAAAUAAAGCAGCUCACCUGAAGAAAAAAAAAAAGACAACAAACUUGCCUUCAGGCUCACACACUAAACAAGCCCAGUGACCUGAAAAACAGCAAAACAAAUCUUUCAUUCUGUUGCAGAACACUGCUAAGUGGGUACAGUUCUCCCUACAAUUUCCCAUAUUCCAUCUAUUUUUCCCCUCAACCAAUAAGCCAACCACUGUGUAAAACCAAUUAUUCCACUGGAAAAUGAG